UCGAUGGCUGUCGUCAGCUCGUGUCGUGAGAUGUCGGUUAAGUCCGCUAACGAGCGCAACCCUCGCUGUGUGUUAUAUGUGUCACACAGGACUGCUGGUAUUAAGCCGGAGGAAGGUGGGGGCGACGUCAAGUCAGCAUGACCUUUAUAUCCAGGGCUACACACACGCUACAAUGGUCAGUACAAUGGGUUGCCAAGCCGCGAGGCGGAGCCAAUCCUAAAAAGCUGGCCUCAGUUCAGAUUGCAGUCUGAAACUCGACUGCAUGAAGUCGGAGUUGCUAGUAAACGCAGGUCAGCUAUACUGCGUUGAAUACGUUCCCGGGGCUU
rnacentral:rRNA from 1 species